UACGGGGGGGGCAAGCGUUGUUCGGAAUUACUGGGCGUAAAGGGCUCGUAGGCGGCCAACUAAGUCGGUGGUGAAAUCCUGGAGCUCAACUCCAGAACUGCCUUCGAUACUGAGAGUCUUGAGUUCGGGAGAGGUGAGUGGAACUGCGAGUGUAGAGGUGAAAUUCGUAGAUAUUCGCAAGAACACCAGUGGCGAAGGCGGCUCACUGGCCCGAUACUGACGCUGAGGUGCGAAAGCGUGGGGAGCAAACAGG
rnacentral:rRNA from 1 species